rnacentral:rRNA from 1 species
UACGGAGGAUGCAAGCGUUAUCCGGAAUCAUUGGGCGUAAAGCGUCCGUAGGUGGCUGUUCAAGUCUGCUGUUAAAGCACAAGGCUUAACCUUGUAAAGGCGGUGGAAACUGAAGUGGCUAGAGUGCGGUAGGGGUAGAGGGAAUUCCCAGUGUAGCGGUGAAAUGCGUAGAGAUUGGGAAGAACACCGGUGGCGAAAGCGCUCUACUGGGCCUGCACUGACACUGAGGGACGAAAGCUAGGGGAGCGAAAGGG